rnacentral:rRNA from 1 species
UACGUAGGGACCGAGCGUUGUCCGGAAUCAUUGGGCGUAAAGAGCGUGUAGGCGGUUUGGUAGGUCCGCUGUGAAAGCUCGAGGCUCAACCUCGAGACGCCGGUGGAAACCAUCAGGCUAGAGUCCGGAAGAGGAGAGUGGAAUUCCUGGUGUAGCGGUGAAAUGCGCAGAUAUCAGGAAGAACACCCGUGGCUAAGGCGGCUCUCUAGUACGGUACUGACGCUGAGACGCGAAAGCGUGGGGAGCAAACAGG